ensembl:lncRNA
UUUCUCUUUUCUCCUUUUCUCUUCAGGGAAAGGAAACCAUUUGUAUGUUGCAUUAAGGAAAAGUGAUUGAAAAGUGGAAGCCCAUACUUUUCCCUUCAGCAAGCGGAGAUCUGUUUUCAGCCUGAUGUUUGGUGAAAGGAAGCUUCAGAGCUGCAGGCCAGCUGCCAGGAAUGUCUGAUUUCCUUUCCACCCACUCCUAUGAUCCUCCCUUUUGGCAGUGAUUACCGAUGACCACAGCUGUCAUGCUAGGUCAUGAUGACUCCUGUUCCAGUUGGGAGGUUGAUCACCUUAGCAAGUUCCAUCUGAACUUCAUUUGGAGUUGCAACCUGGGCUGAGACUGUGCAACCUGCUCUGGGAGCUGGGCCCCUGCACCAGAGGUGGGAAUAACAUCACAUGAGAGACCCACUGAAGAUACAUGCAGCAUUGACCCAGGGAAACUGAAGGGUUUGCACGAGAGUAUCACGUUGGUUUUAGAUUUUGACAAGACUUCUGCUUUUGAUGCUUAUCCUUACCAGAGAGUGAGAAGACCUUUUUACCGUCACAGCUCUUUUCAAAAGACAUGGGAAAGCAUCUGGAAAGCCAGAUUUUAACAGUGGGCAAGUUAUAAAUAGUAACAUACAGAAUCACACUCCGAACGGAAAUUAUUUGAUUUUUUUCAUUACAACAUUAUAUUACGUUGACUCUGGUUUCCGUGUACUAGAAGCAUGUAUUAUAUCCUUAUCAUAUCCUUAGGUUCCUAGACACAGAGAUCAAUUAACAUAUGUCAAGGGUAAUUUUUACAGUCUAACUGCACCUGGCUAACUAAUAGCACCUACAGAUAUGGACAGAACAAAGUACCAGAAUUUAUGUAUCUUAAAGGAAUUAUUUCCUGUCAGAUGAUGAAGAUGAAAUAAUGGAAAGUAUUCGCUUUUUGUCCAGUCUGUUGGGUUUGAUAUUUUUAUAACUCUUAACCCAGACGAAAUCUUCAACCAUUUUGAAUGUGAAAAAAAAAAUAGAAUUUCUGUCUUUUAUAAGGUACACAUUCAUUAAAAAGGAAACUAAGAAACCAUCUUUAGAGUAAUUCCUUCUAUAAGAAAGAGUCAACACUCCCAACUUGUUCCCUCCACCACACCAAGCUACAGCUUAAAGACACAAUUCUAUAAUUAAAGUGAAAAUAAAUUUUACUUUGUCUUAAUUGAUGCCA